rnacentral:snRNA from 8 species
CGACUCUGGUUUCUCUUCAUUACGCACAAGCCUUUCGCCUUUUACUAAAGACUUCCGUGGAGAGGAACACUUACGAGUUCAACGUAUUUGUGGAAGGGCUUUGCUUCUGGCAGAGCC